CAGUCGCCGCGGUAAUACGAAGGGGGCUAGCGUUGUUCGGAUUUACUGGGCGUAAAGCGCACGUAGGCGGAUCGAUCAGUCAGGGGUGAAAUCCCAGAGCUCAACUCUGGAACUGCCUUUGAUACUGUCGAUCUGGAGUAUGGAAGAGGUGAGUGGAAUUCCGAGUGUAGAGGUGAAGUUCGUAGAUAUUCGGAGGAACACCAGUGGCGAAGGCGGCUCACUGGUCCAUUACUGACGCUGAGGUGCGAAAGCGUGGGGAGCAAACAGGAUUAGAUACCCGAGCAGUCCCUGUCUCUUAUAC
rnacentral:rRNA from 1 species